rnacentral:rRNA from 1 species
UUCUUUUUGAUUUUAAAAUUAAAAGUAUAACCUGCUCAAUGAAUAUUUAAAUAGCUGCGGUUAAUCGUACGAAGGUAGCAUAAUAAUUUGUCCUUUAAUUAAGGUCUAGUAUGAAUGGUUGAACGAAUAUUAACUUUUUUAAUCUGACUUAUUUGAAUUUAAUUUUUUAGUUAAAAAGCUAAAAUUUUUUAUUAAGACGAUAAGACCCUAUAGAAUUUUAAUUUUUUUAAUUAUAAUAUUAUUUAUUUUUAUAAAUAUUUAUUUUAAGAUUAUUUUGAUUGGGGUGAUUGUUACAAUUUAAUAACUGUAAUUUCUUUUUUUCAUACAUUAAUGAAUAAUUGAUCCUAAAUUUUAGAUUAUAAGAUUAAAUUACCUUAGGGAUAACAGCGUAAUUUUUUUGGAGAGUUCUUAUUAAUAAAAAAGUUUGCGA